UAAUGGAUUACAGAUAGAGCGGUGAUGGCAAUGUGGUAGCUCAAGUUUUGGCAUCGUAUUUCAAGCUCAGCAGAGGGUGGUGUUGAUGUUGUUGUCGUCUCUAAUUCGUUGGAGGAUUUUGUGUGAAGGUGUGCUUAAGGAUUUGGGAUUUUGUAGGAGGGUUGAUGUGGAGAUAUGAGAUUUUGGAAAUUUAGGAUUUUUGUUUCAAGAUUUAGGAUUUGUGAGAAGUUAAAAUUUUAGAAAGUUUAGAAAUUUUUUUAAAAAUUCUGUGUUUAUUUGAAGUUGAUACAAAAU
rnacentral:lncRNA from 1 species